CUAGACUGAAAUGCUAUCAAUAGCACUAAGUUGUUGGUGUUAUUAGUAUUUUGGUUUUCGGAUGAAAAAAUGUACAAUUAAAAUGAUGUGAGCCCUCUAGUGUCGAGUGAGUUAUUGGUUGAAUAGUAUAAUCUAACGGGUGAAAAUAGUCAAAGAGUUAAAUAUAACGAUGAAAAAUUUAGUAGUACAAAGUGUUUGGUGCUAUCAAUAGUAUCUCAGGUGGACUCCAGAGAGAGAGAGAGAGAGAGACCAGGAUGCUUA
rnacentral:lncRNA from 1 species